rnacentral:rRNA from 1 species
CGCUGGCGGCGUGCCUAAUACAUGCAAGUCGAACGGUCUUUCUAUGGAAGCUUGCUUCCACUGAGAAGAUAGUGGCGAACGGGUGAGUAACACGUGGGUAACCUGCCCAUAAGAGGGGGGAUAACAUCCGGAAACGGGUGCUAAUACCGCAUAGUUUUCUUGGUCGCAUGAUCGGGAAAGGAAAGACGGCCUUUGUGCUGUCGCUUAUGGAUGGACCCGCGGCGUAUUAGUUAGUUGGUGAGGUAACGGCUCACCAAGACGAUGAUACGUAGCCGACCUGAGAGGGUGAUCGGCCACAUUGGGACUGAGACACGGCCCAAACUCCUACGGGAGGCAGCAGUAGGGAAUCUUCCGCAAUGGACGAAAGUCUGACGGAGCAACGCCGCGUGAGUGAAAGAAGGUUUUCGGAUCGUAAAACUCUGUUGUCAGAGAAGAACAAGUUGGAGAGUAACUGCUCCAGCCUUGACGGUAUCUGACCAGAAAGCCACGGCUAACUACGUGCCAGCCGCGGC